rnacentral:rRNA from 1 species
GCUAAUAGCCAGCAGCUUGGUCUCUGCAACUCUCACAUAUCUGCUCACUGAAGCUAAACAGGGCUGCACCUGGUCAGUACCUGGAAAGGAGACCACAUAGAAAAGCUAGGUUGCUAACGGAA